AUCGGACGUCUUCGGCGUUCG
rnacentral:snRNA from 1 species